UAAACAGCUCCAGUUACAAUAUAUUCUCUUAAUUAAAGGCGUGCGUGUUAAUUAGAUAUUACAUUUCUAUGUACUAUAUUAACAGGGCUUCACUGAGAAGAAGACCUCAUUUAUUCAUGUUUUAGACCUGUGAGGUCGCGAAUUGUCAUGUAGGUGAAGCGCAGAGCAUUUAGACAGAUUUUCACAGUCAUACACAGCGGUGAACUAAAACAAGAUAAACGACAUAUAGUCCCCACGCGCGUUCUUGCUUUAUUCCGUGGUGGGUGUUUGCUGCUCGGCGGCUGAGGGCGGGAAUGAGGGGGUGGGAGGCUGGGUCCUUUGUCCCUCUGCAGCCCCCUCCUCCCCCAGCAUGACAGGAGCGCCAGCCGCGGUUGUGGCAGCAUUUGUCUCCCGUGCAAAACAUGUGUCCCCUCGUUUAGUCUACCUUGCUACAUGUUAUGGAAUUCACUGUGAGCAUGAUGUACAGUUAGCUAAUAAUAACUGAAUGAGUGAAAUAAAAGACCGUCAACUUCCUUGUAGAAUUAACGGACGCGUGUGCUCUGUCAUAGUGACUCCACUCACGGGGUUGGUCAUUUACUGACAUAAAGCACCAUAACGUUAGGCGACUAGUGUGUACCAAGCAGCUACCACGAUGUCCAUUCUUCCUAAUGAUAUGAACCGGUGUUAGUAUUUGGGGUUUUUGUGCAUACAUUUCUUUUUUGAAAAGUUGUGUCUUUAGCAAAACUAGCUGUCCAAAAACACAAAGCCACUUUGCUAUAGCUUCUAACGUUAGUUCCCCGACAUUAUAUCGAGGCUCAGGGAAACACAUUUUUGAGCGAAACACAUUGAGGCACAACAUCUAACUGUUAGCUAAGACACCAAAACAGCAUCUCUGCUAACCUGCGAAGACAGCACGGUGUGAAAACCACAGCAGGUAGAAACACAGAGACACCGUUAAACCAACUCCAGUCUGACUACAACACAAACAAGUGAGUGAAGCCAGUGCGAGCAAACAGAUUAGUAGAGACAAAUCCAACGCUGACAAGCGGCUCAUGUAGUCUGCUUUAUUCAAGCGUAGUAAAACCCAGUGGCUGCUUAUUAUCCUUGUAACGCGGGCACCCACUUACCCGUUUUUCCUGCUCGUCCGCGGUCAGUUUCCUCAGAAAUAAGAGAGCUGCAUUGUUGACAUUGGCUUCCUGACGUCAUGCUGGCCCUCAUUCACAACAACGGCCACCCCCCCUGCUCUUAGGUAGUGGAGCCCCCGCCUUGUGAUGCAGCGGAGAUGUUUGAGAUCCAAACAGUACCACCUGUGUGACAUCAGUCAGCUGGCAGUUGGCAGAGACUGGAAAAACAGUACGC